CCGGGGCAGAGCGUGGCUGGCGCGGAGUCGCGGGACAGCUCGGGCCCGGGUCGAGAAGUUUCACAGUAGUAAUCAACUUAUUGGUGGUGUUUGGAGUGAGUGUGUAUGCUGCUAACUUCUACAAGGCUAACUGGAAGCUGCUCACAUGUUAUCAGCACCAGGUAUCCAUCAUGCAGGGAACCCAGAUUUGCGGAUAUAAAGAGGAUGAGCCUGUAGCAUUGCACUGACGUGUUUCAAUUAUACCCUUGCAGUGUAGACGCAAAGAUAGGCAAUGCCAAGCCCUGUACAAGUAGAAAUGGUAAGAACCACAUGGUUCUAGAAGAAAGCUCACCAAGUGCUGGGACAGUCGGAAAAGGCUCCAGAUCAGAGACAGGGCUUGCACUGGGCCUUCCGUCCAUCACAAAUGCUUGGUAAGUGUCCACUGUAUACAGGCACCAGCCAGAGUUUCGCAGACAGCAGUGAGCAAACCGGCAGCCAUGCCCGUCGCCAUGUGUGAAAGGAGAACCAAAAGGAAGCCAGCACGCAAGACCCCUCGUGACUGAGGGAAAAGCAGCACCAGAAGAGCUCGCAAGAAGUGGACUGAGCAUCUACAGUCUGCCAGACACAGGUGGAGAAAGAGAGCGGAGGCUUACGGAGGAACCGCCAUCCCCACGUGAAUCAUCACAGCACAGCCAAAGAGCAGCUCCGUAAAGCAGAGGGGCCAAGAGACGAGCCAGAAGGCCGGAGGAGGAGGAGACCUCUGACCUGCAGGAUCUGUACCAGGGACCACAGCAACCUCUGGGUGGAGAGCAAGGGCACAGCUCUGAGGAGGCGGAAGGGUGUGUCAGAGGCAGGAGAAGGCAUUUCGGAAGGCUUGCUGCGCUGCUGCUGGGCUCCUCGCUAAGGAGAAACUCCAGGGCAGUUCAAGCAAGGAGUGAUAUGAUCCAAUUUAACUUAAAAAGAUCAACCUUUUUGCUGUGGGACAAAAUUGAAAACAGGGAGACCCAUUUGUGUCUCUUGCAGUGAAUCAGACUACGGUAAAGAUAGCUGGACCCAGGGUCCUCAAACCUUUUGCACAUAUCUAAUAAACUAAUUUUGUGAAAACUUAUAAGCCCCCAUGUUUAAGAUAAUGGCAAAAUUUUACAUUAUGUUUAAAACAUUGAAUUUUUA